ACUUGCUUUGUCUAUGUCUUGUGGUAAAAGUACAUUUGUUAAAAUCUUUUUCAUGACAAAUGUUUCUUUUCUUGAGUGGUAUUAAUCCGUCUCUCUGUUUGUUUACAUUGAUUUAAAAAUUGUUUCAUAUAUCAAUAUUCUACUCAUGAAUAAUUUAUUCAGUUUAUAAAUAAUACAAAUAGGCAAACAAUGUCAAUAAUCAUCAAACUGUCUAACGAUGAAGACAUGGCCAGUCAUUUUAUGUUUGCUUAAAAAAAAGCUGUAAUCAUCUGGCCUCUCCAGCAAUGUAUGAUUAUCAACUGGCUCAAAUCAUCUGGCCUGUCCAGCAAUGUAUUUAUAAUUAAUCACAAUUAUCUGACCUGUCCAGCCAUGUAUGAUUGUAUAGAUGCCCACAAUCAUCUGACCUGUCCAGCUAUGCA